rnacentral:rRNA from 1 species
AGUGAACGCUGGCGGCAUGCCUAACACAUGCAAGUCGAACGGCAGCACAGUAAGAUUUCGCCCUUACGGUUGGCGAGUGGCGGAUGGGUGAGGCAUACAUCGGCAUCCUCUUUUACGGGGAUGACAACGUAGGGAAACAGACGAUAACAGAUCAUAUAUUCUACCGGAGAAUUCAAUGGUGCAUGGGGGUUUUGGUGACACAUAGAGAUGGAUCCGCGUCGCAUUAGCUAGUUGGUAAGGGAAAGGCCCACCAAGGCGACGAUCCGUAGCUGAUCUGAGAGGGUGAUCAGCCACACUGGAACUGAGACACGGUCCAGACUCCUACGGGAGGCAGCAGUGGGGAAUAUUGGACAAUGGGCGCAAGCCUGAUCCAGCCAUACCGCGUGGGUGAAGAAGGCCUUCGGGUUGUAAAGCCCUUUUGUUGGGAAAGAAAAGCAGCAGGUUAAUACCCCGCUGUUCUGACGGUACCCAAAGAAUAAGCACCGGCUAACUUCGUG